GCUAGGACCUCAUUACAGAGCUCAGACUGCAUGUCCAAAAGAUUAAUCUAAGCAGUUUUCUGGGGUUAAAGAUUACCAAACUAUUAAAAACAAAAAAAAAAUUUUAUGUUCUGGUUUCUGAAACAUUCAAGUUAGUUCCAUGGCUUUCUUGUACAAAUGUCUAUUUACCUGCUAAUGAAGCCCUAUUCCAGCUUUUCUGAUUAACACAUAAUACAAGUUUUUCUUCUAUUACCUUGUAUCUCCUUUAUUUUUGGUUUUGAAAUAAUUGCCACGAAAUUCCAUUGAUUUUUUUAAUAUGCAAUAUUCUCCAAAAAUAUAUUGUAGAGAUUUUUUCCUUAUAACUCAAAACCUUUUCCCAUAUGUGUUAAUAUUUUAAACAAGGAAUAUCAGUCAAGCAUGAUAAUACAUGCAUCCUUAUAUGUAAAGAGGGCACAUUUGUUUUACAAAAAUGUAAUUUUAGGUGUUUAUUGAACAUAAGUAAUAGAUUUGUGCUGAUUUAUGAACACAUUCUUUUCUGCUUCCUGUUCUGUAACCAAAGGAUAAUUUUUGUUAUUUAGCUAGUGAAACAAACAGGUCAUAAGCCAUUAUAAUAGAAAAGAGCAAUUUUAAGCCCAAAGAGGCAGAUUAUAAUUUCUUUUUCAUUUUCAAUAAUAAAAGUUAACUAUAUCUAUGAGUUGGUAUCUAACUAGCAAAUAAUAUAUAGAUUGUAUUACAAAUGUUUAAAUGAAUAUUGGUUUUGCCACUUAAAAUUCAAAUGAUAUUGAAAACUAGUCUCCAUAUGGUGUGCACGGUCUUAGAAUUAACCUGGGCAAUAAAAAUUCUAAAUGUACAAAGUUGUUAUUAUUUUAGAGCCAAACCAGGCAAUAUCUUUCCUUCUGAUUUUGGUAAAGCACAGGAACUUCAAGUGUAAUAUUAUGU
rnacentral:lncRNA from 1 species